rnacentral:rRNA from 1 species
CGCUGGCGGCGUGCUUAACACAUGCAAGUCGAGCGGUAAGGCCCUUCGGGGUACACGAGCGGCGAACGGGUGAGUAACACGUGGGUGAUCUGCCUCGCACUCUGGGAUAAGCCUGGGAAACUGGGUCUAAUACCGGAUAUGACCUUACAUCGCAUGGUGUUUGGUGGAAAGAUUUAUCGGUGCGAGAUGGGCCCGCGGCCUAUCAGCUUGUUGGUGGGGUAAUGGCCUACCAAGGCGACGACGGGUAGCCGGCCUGAGAGGGCGACCGGCCACACUGGGACUGAGACACGGCCCAGACUCCUACGGGAGGCAGCAGUGGGGAAUAUUGCACAAUGGGCGAAAGCCUGAUGCAGCGACGCCGCGUGAGGGAUGACGGCCUUCGGGUUGUAAACCUCUUUCGACAGGGACGAAGCGCAAGUGACGGUACCUGUAGAAGAAGCACCGGCCAACUACGUGCCAGCAG